AGGAGAUUAUUACAAUGUUUUACUCAGACAGUGUCCCAGUAAAAGUCAACACUCAGUACUUUCUCACUACAUGAGACGAAGAGCACACAGACAGUAACUUUCCACUGUUGCAUAAAGAGACAUCAUUACAUACAAUGUAAUUUUCCAUUACACUAAUGAGAGAUGCUG